rnacentral:rRNA from 1 species
UACGUAGGGGGCAAGCGUUGUCCGGAUUUACUGGGCGUAAAGAGCGCGUAGGCGGAAAGUUAAGCGGGGCCGGAAAGCCCCGGCUCAACCGGGGAAGGGGCCGCGAACUGGCUUUCUUGAGGGGAGAGGGGAGAGUGGAAUUCCUGGUGUAGCGGUGAAAUGCGUAGAUAUCAGGAGGAACACCGGUGGUGUAAACGGCUUUCUGGACCGUAACUGACGCUGGAGGCACGAAAGCGUGGGUAGCAAACAGG